UGAACUGAACAUGAGAGGAGAGUCCUGGGUUGGUCUGAGAGCCAAAAACACAUCAUCAGGAUAUGAAUGGGAAUGGGUGGACGGAUCACUGCUGACAGAAACGUUCUGGGCAGAAGGAGAGAAGAGUACGAAUUUCUUUUCCUAUGGAGUCUGCUGUGACAAUAAUGCGAACUUGAAACAGGCAGUUGAACAUUAUGAAGGUUAUAACUCAAAUAAAUGGAUAUGUGAGAAAUGAGUUUGGUGCUUUGAUGUAAAUGUUUGAAUAAUCCAACCAAAGACACCUCACUAUGAAAUGUCCUGCAUGAGCCUCAGACUCAGCUCACAGUUGUUACUUGUUCAUUCUGCAUCAUAUAUUGAUUACAUAUAUUGUCCCUCUGUGCUCUGUGCUGUACAGUAAGGUUGGAAGUCAUCCACACAAAAACUUGAAGUACUUCAUUACUCUGUAGUUCCAGCAAAUUGUUCUAAUACAAGUCAAAGUGCAGCUUGUCUUUACUUUGGUUUACUUGGUUUAUUCAUCAGUCUGUUGGUCCUAAAACUUCAGUAAAUGUCUUCUUGAGUUUCUCUCAAACAGCUGAAAGUAGCUGCUUCUUACUUUUAGCUACAAAUCAGGAACCAAGAGACUGAAACCAGCACAAAUUCAGUUUGUCAAACUUACAACGUGUGAAUAAGUGAAGAUGAGUCAGUUUAAAACAACUUUCCUUCUUCUUCUUCACUUACAUCCAAACACAACUUUACCUUCCUGCUUAGUUUGCAGCGAGCUGCCUGCACAGCGUUAACACACUGAAGGUCAAAGUUCAUGUCAGCAUGACAGAAAGAAAAAGUGCAGAAACAACAACCCUCACAGUGGACACGGUUACAGUCUGAUGACUCUGAACAUGACUCGGGUCUUUUUGUAAUGUGGGCCUUAGUCGUCUUUCAUGAAUCAGACAGUUUCAGAGCCAGUUUCCAUGUGACACACUUCCUGCUUUGGACCCUUUACCUGCAGCCUGUAUGUGUCCACAUGUGAUUGGUGCAAAGCUGACCUUUAACUAAUGACCACAGACCCUGGUUGUGUUUCACUUCAGAUGAUUUUCAGCAUUUCAUUGAAUUCUAACUGCAUCAAAGACAUUUCAGCGUUUCAAUUCAUCAAACUGACUUCAGAUCUUGUUGCAUGCUGUUAGUUUCUCUGCUGGUAAACUCGAAAUAACUGAAGAGUUCACACUGACGCCAUAUUUCCUGCAUCAGAAACAUUCCUCUUUGCUCAUUACUAACAAUAGAUAUUGUGUGAUGACAGCAGCUUCUGAGAAAGCUGUUUUUAUGUUGCUGCUGCUGAGUUAAAGCUCAGUGUCUGUGCUUUAUGACAAACAUUUCAAAUACAGCACAUUUGUGGCUUUGCUUGUAUUGCUGUACAAGUAUCUAUGUAUUAAUGCAUGUAAUGGAAAAGUUUUCCAAAUUAAAUGUAGAAAAGUAUUUAA